rnacentral:lncRNA from 1 species
CACCCUCUUGCUCUCAAUCACAUGCCAGCAUAGAGACAGGGCAGCGCCCUCAAGUUAGUUGCUCCUUUCCCUCCCAUGUUCUUUUGCAAUCUCUGCUUGGCGUUCCCCUGGCCAUCUGGGUUUCUGACCUGGGUCUCAUGAGGCCUGGCUCCUCUGCCCGCAGACAGCCCAUAGCCUUGAACUAGAAGCUCUACGCUUGAGCCUGAACAACAUGCAUACAGCACAGCUGGAGCUGACGCAGGCCAACCUGCAGAAGGAGAAAGAGACCGCGCUGACGGAGCUGCGGGAAAUGCUCAAUGGCCGGCGGGCACAGGAGCUGGCGCUGCUGCAGAGCAGGCAGCAGUGUGAGCUGGAGCUGAUGCGAGAGCAGCACGCCCGAGAGAAGGAAGAGAUGGCGCUCCGCAACGAGCAGGAG